rnacentral:lncRNA from 1 species
AAUGAUGUUCCCGACAUUCAGCGACAUCCACUUGGCCCCUUUUUCUGAUGAACAGCUCUACGUGGAACACUUCUCCAGAGCCAAUUUUUGGUACCAGCAAUGUUUCUAUGGGGUCAAUCUGUCCAGUCUCCAGGGUGCUACAGUGGAUGAAUACUUCAGGCAGCCAAUAGUAGACACAUUUGAUGUUAGGAUUUUGAUGGCUGGAACAGUCAAAUACACAGCAAACUUUAUGGAUGCAGAAGAGGAAGAUCUACACAGAUGGCAGUCUGGGCUCAUCCAUGGCCUGGCGUUCUGGUUUGAUGUGGCAUUUGUUGGAUCUCUGUAUGUAUACCCCCCACCAACAUUUUCUCAGUCUGCUCUACCCCAUGCUAUCUACUAUUUGUAAUCACAAUUUUAAAGUGUUUAAUAAUUGAUUUUAAUGACACUAAUUCUUGUUUCUCCAAUUUUCAAGGAAAUAAACACAGA